GGAGACAUCCUGCGGAGGGUGGAGUCGAGCGACCGGCAGUGGCCGCUGCGGAAGAGCCUGGUAUCUUGCGCUUGCGUCUGCCGGAGGUGGCGCCAGGUCACCACCGGCGUCGUCGGGCCGCCCAGGGAGACUGGGACGAUUACCUUCGCUGCUUCCCUCAGGCAGGUAGGUUUUUGAUUUCGAGAACCCUUUUUGCUUCUCCAAAUUUCUACUUUCCCGCCUCCGCAUAAGAACUGGGGUAGAUGUCUUUGUGCUUCUACCGGCUUCCCUCGAGCAGGUAGGCUUUUGAUUUCAAUAAUUAUGCCGCUGUAUAAGAACUGAGGUCGGACCCAUUAUGCUUCUACCUGCUUCCCUCAAGCAGGCAGGUUUUUCAUUUCAAGAAUUAUGCUUCUCCAAAUUUCUAUUUUCCCGCCCCUAUAAGAAAUUGCUUGUAGAAAUUUGCUUAAUUUAACAUAAACUGAACUCUUUUGCUUAAUUUUAAUUCAAGAAUUAUGCUUCUCCAAAUUUAUCUCCCCGAUUUUGCUGUGUACGUUAAAAUUGAUUCUUUUAUAGAAAAUUGCUUAAUUUAACACGGACCAAACUAUACUUCCUGAUUUAUGCUUAUAUUUCUGUUCAUUUUUUACAAGCUAGGG
rnacentral:lncRNA from 1 species